AGAGCGGGGGACCCGAAAGGGCCUCGCGCUGCAGGGGCGGCCGAUGGCAGAUUAGCUAGUUGGUGGGGUAAAGGCCUACCAAGGCGACGAUCUGUAGCUGGUCUGAGAGGACGACCAGCCACACUGGGACUGAGACACGGCCCAGACUCCUACGGGAGGCAGCAGUGGGGAAUUUUGGACAAUGGGCGCAAGCCUGAUCCAGCAAUGCCGCGUGUGUGAAGAAGGCCUUCGGGUUGUAAAGCACUUUUGUCCGGAAAGAAAACUUCAGCCCUAAUACGGCAGGAGGAUGACGGUACCGGAAGAAUAAGCACCGGCUAACUACGUGCCAGCAGCCGCGGUAAUACGUAGGGUGCAAGCGUUAAUCGGAAUUACUGGGCGUAAAGCGUGCGCAGGCGGUUCGCUAAGACAGAUGUGAAAUCCCCGGGCUUAACCUGGGAACUGCAUUUGUGACUGGCGGG
rnacentral:rRNA from 1 species